rnacentral:rRNA from 1 species
GAUGAACGCUGGCGGCGUGCCUAAUACAUGCAAGUCGAGCGAACAGAUGAGGAGCUUGCUCCUCUGACGUUAGCGGCGGACGGGUGAGUAACACGUGGAUAACCUACCUAUAAGACUGGGAUAACUUCGGGAAACCGGAGCUAAUACCGGAUAAUAUAUUGAACCGCAUGGUUCAAUAGUGAAAGACGGUUUUGCUGUCACUUAUAGAUGGAUCCGCGCCGCAUUAGCUAGUUGGUAAGGUAACGGCUUACCAAGGCGACGAUGCGUAGCCGACCUGAGAGGGUGAUCGGCCACACUGGAACUGAGACACGGUCCAGACUCCUACGGGAGGCAGCAGUAGGGAAUCUUCCGCAGUGGGCGAAAGCCUGACGGAGCAACGCCGCGUGAGUGAUGAAGGUCUUCGGAUCGUAAAACUCUGUUAUUAGGGAAGAACAAAUGUGUAAGUAACUAUGCACGUCUUGACGGUACCUAAUCAGAAAGCCACGGCUAACUACGU